UACGGAGGGUGCAAGCGUUGUUCGGAAUUACUGGGCGUAAAGGGCUCGUAGGUGGCCAACUAAGUCAGACGUGAAAUCCCUCGGCUUAACCGGGGAACUGCGUCUGAUACUGGAUGGCUUGAGUUCGGGAGAGGGAUGCGGAAUUCCAGGUGUAGCGGUGAAAUGCGUAGAUAUCUGGAGGAACACCGGUGGCGAAGGCGGCAUCCUGGACCGACACUGACACUGAGGAGCGAAAGCCAGGGGAGCAAACGGG
rnacentral:rRNA from 1 species